AAUAUUUUAGUUUUCUGCAGAAAAAAUCUCAGAAAACUAACGACUGAUUUUUGUCGACGUCGGGCACCAGUUACAGUUACAGUUUGAAAUUAUAUCUCACCUCGGAUGAACGCGCCCGUUAUGUGUUACCCCGCAACAGCUGACUUAACUGAUUGUUCAAAUCCUCGAAUUUAUCCUGCUCGCUGUCGUUCAUGUUUUUAUUACUUUCCCCUAGUUCUACACAAUCAUUAGCCAUUGGAUCGUGUAUAGUUCAUGAAUCCGAAGUGGUUCAAAAGGAUGUCGCUGUACAGAUUCAGAGCGGCCGCUUCCAGCUCAGCAAAAGUGAAAGCCACUUGACGGUUAAAUUCGUAGUGUGUCCGCUGAUAGCGCUCGGGGACAGAAAAAUCUCAUAGGUCAGAGUCGCUUCCGACUUCGUUACCGUCAACAUUAAACACAACAGCAAGAUACUUGGAAAGGACUUUCUCGUUCGAACAAACAUAAUGGAAGCGUAUUCUACACGCACAUAUUCACUCGGGCCAACCGUGUGACUCAUUUGGAAAAAGGACUCAUCGUCGGUUUCAUGGCAGCGAAGUGAGCAGACAAAAAAGGCAUCGUUUUUUUCCACAUGAUCGUGCUGAGCAAAAUUCAGCGAUUUGCCAGGCAUAAACCACCGAUGAGACAGUACCCGUUCGGAUUCAGGACGUUUUCCCAUACAUUGUACCCGGUCGAAGCGAUGCAGAUAACUGGGUCAAAAAGGCGGAGGUUCUGGGAAUUUCUGCACUCGUUAGCGAUCUGAGUAUGACCAAGGACAAGGAAUCAGAACCGGCGACUGACAGUCCAGAGAAAGAGAAUGC